AUGGCAUAUGAGAUUCUCCUCCAAGAAAAAAUGUUUCUCAGGAAGCAGGAUGAUGUAUUGAGUUUGCAUAAUAUUAGGGACAACCGUACAAACGCAGGCUGUACUGUCAUCAAAACUCUUAAUCAAGGGCCUAAUAAAAACUCUCAACGAAGUCAAUGGAGUUUAGGAAGCAAUUCAUCUCAGCCUGAGCUAGGCAUUUACAAUAAGUUUGAUGAACCGGUCCCUUUGCUUCUGGAAGCAGACAGACAACAGCAGACAGAAGAUGGAAUGGGGCUGACUGUGAACAUGAGCAUAAAGUCUGGUGGAUCUGGAAAACCUGAACAGCAGAAGAGCAGCAGAUGAACUGAGUGGCUUUGUAAGAUGAUCUCUGCCUUGGUCUAGAGCUGAAAGGGAAGAAGGAAGGAUACCCUCUCGGCAAAUCCACAUUCUCAGCUAUGUGGCAUCAUUUGAGACAGAAACAUGUCCAGGCAGUGCCAGAGGGGUGACCCUGACUGUUGACAUUUCUGCACCACUCAGGCCUACAAGCAGGUUGUGAUCCAAAUUCUCCCUCUGAAUUGCAUGCAAGCACUGAGAGCAGACACAGGUAAGGA
rnacentral:lncRNA from 1 species